rnacentral:rRNA from 1 species
UAAGUGAGUAGUGAAAUCGUGUGGCUCAACCAUUACGGCUAUUACUCAAACUGGCGAGCUCGAGAAUGGUAGAGGUAGCUGGAAUUUCUAGUGUAGGAGUGAAAUCCGUAGAUAUUAGAAGGAACACCAAUGGCGUAGGCAGGCUACUGGACCAUUUCUGACGCUGAGGCACGAAAGCGUGGGGAGCGAACCGGAUUAGAUACCCGGGUAGUCCACGCCGUAAACGAUGGAUACUA